rnacentral:lncRNA from 1 species
AACUGUCCGACGUUAGGUCGACCAGCAAGCUCAGAGACGAUCUUCUAGUAGAGAUUCUAAUCCGUAGCUUCCCAGAUUCUAAUUCCGCCAGCCGCUCCAAAGUCGUCUUUAAUAACUAGAGCUCCCUGAUUUCGAGUCCCUACUUGAAUCACCGUUUCGUCUCCCACCACCAGCAAAAGAAGAACAGAAGUUGCUUCACUUGCAGAACGAGC